ACUUUGGUUUGUAAACAUGGCCGAAAUUUCUUCGAUCCUUAAAGUGAAAAUACCUCUUUUGGAGUUUUUACAAGAAGAAGACGAUUACUUUUAUUUCUUUGCUCGUCAUCAAGCGGAUAGAUAUUGGUCUUUAAGGAAGAGAGAAUGGACCCCAAAAAUUACUAGCUAUAUGGAAACAGUGUUUACCGAAUUUGGACUUCCACAAAACAUUGAUGACUUUCGUGUACACUAUCGUGUUAGUAGAAACCUGUUUGAAAUUAUUCUUCGGGAAAUAUAUGGAGGUUUACUUUUAAAUGGAUAUGGGCCAUACAACGCCAUAGAACCUCCACAACAACUCCUUGUUUGUCUGUGGUACCUGUCAAAUAUGUCGUCAAUGAGAGAGUUAGCUCAUAUUAUCAACUUGUCAAAAUCAACAGUUCAUGCAGUUGUAUGAGAGUGUUGGAUGCACUUCAAGAGUUAAAACCAGGAAUAAGUAGUUCACUUAAUUUUAAAAAAUAUUCUUGCUUAUCAGUGGCGUCGGAAGCAAUUGAAAGUGGGGGGGGGGGGGGGGCUAGACUUAUAAAAAAAAUCAUGACACCCCCCCCCCCCCCCCGGGUUCUGACGCCUAUGAGCAUAAAGGUACGUGUGAUAAGUAAAUUAGAAUUUUAUAUGAUAUACUAUAAGAUAAACAGCAGCUGCUGUGUACUACACAUUAAAGAGAUCAGCACAAAUGUUUGAUGCAUAUAUUUUAACAAGGCAUAAUAUACAUCAUAAGUGUUUUACUUAUUCUAUCAAAUAAUAAUAUGUUCAUAUCACACAUGUAUUCAAUGAAUAGGUAUAGAUUUUCAAUUAUUGAUUUCAAAUGUCAAGAACCUGUAAUUUAUAUUGAUUGUAUACUUUAUUUAAUUAUUGAUUCUAUUUAAAGGUGAUUUGCUGGCAAAAUGCUGAGCGACAAAAAGAAAUCUCUCGAGAAGUUGAGAACAUAUGUGGACUUCCAGGGGUAGUUGGAUUCCUUGAUGGAACGCACAUAAGACUAUCAUCAGCCCUCAAUGGUGAAAGGGAUUUUUAUAACAGAAAAGGAUUUCCGUCCAUUCAAGUACAGGUAUAUAGCAAAUGUAAAAGUAUCUUGCUUGUAUAAAUGUUUUAAUGUCAUAACUUUGCAUUAACUUAAACUUGGCAAAAAGUAAUUACUUGGGUAUUAUCAUGGUACCAUUGUUUUAUCCCAUUACCACAUUUUCAUCUUUUGACAUCAUUUUGAUAAUCCUAUACACAUCAUGUAUUUAUAUAUGUUUGUACAAUGUAUAUCUAUCUAACUUAGCAUUAAAUAUUCUCGUGAUUUUUCAAACAGAUUACCUAAAAACAUUAAUUUAAGGUGUAUAUGUUAAAAUAAACUCCAUGCUUAUUAAAAUGAAGAUUUUUUUUUUUAAAGAGCAAUAACAAAACAUGAUUUCCACACCUUUGCAUACAUUUUCUUGAUAACAUGUAUAUACAUGUAAUAUAUUUUGCAGGCAGUAUAGAUCAGCAGAUGAAAUUUACAAAUAUUUAUGCUGGGUGGCCAGGGUGUGUCCAUGAUGCGCGUGUUUUGAGAAAUUCCACUUUAUACACAGAGGCUGAGGCAGGAAACCUUGUUCUCGUUGAUCACUAUAUUCUCGCUGACAGUGCAUAUCCUCUCAGGAACUGGUUAAUAACCCCGUUUAAAAACUUGGGAAAUCUUACCCCACAGCAAGUCCGUUUCAACAAAAGACUGUGAAGUGCACGACAAGCUGUCGAACGUGCUUUUGGUCAUUUAAAAGGACGGUUUCGUCGACUGCAGUACUUUCCGUUACACAGCUCCACAGAAAUUUGCCAAAUGAUUUUGGCUGCCUGCAUAUUACACAACAUGUGCAUCUUUAAUGAUGAUGAAGUUGAAGAUUACAUCAUGGAAGAACAAUUACAAGAUCCAAAUGACUGCCAGUGUGAUAACAUUUACCAAAACGGAGAUUGCAGCUUGUCAAUAGCUUAAACUGAUAACUUAAAUGGCUGAAUAAUUGUAUUGAAAUUUUUUUUUUAAUUUGCAAUUUGCAAGUGAUCAUUUUGUAUGGUAUGUUGUAGAACAAUAUAAAACAAAUUGAAAUUUUAAUAUAAUUUGUGUCAAAUGCAAUAAAAGUUACGACCAUCA
rnacentral:misc_RNA from 1 species